rnacentral:tRNA from 1 species
UCGUGGCUCAGUCGGUAGAGCGCUACCUUGGUAAGGUAGAGGUCAGGGGUUCGAUUCCCCUCGUU